UACAGAGGGUGCAAGCGUUAAUCGGAAUUACUGGGCGCAAAGCGCGCGUAGGUGGUUUGUUAAGUUGGAUGUGAAAGCUCCGGGCUCAACCUGGGAACUGCAUCCAAAACUGGCAAGCUAGAGUACGGUAGAGGGUGGUGGAAUUUCCUGUGUAGCGGUGAAAUGCGUAGAUAUAGGAAGGAACACCAGUGGCGAAGGCGACCACCUGGACUGAUACUGACACUGAGGUGCGAAAGCGUGGGGAGCAAACAGG
rnacentral:rRNA from 1 species